AAUAAAACAAAAAAAGUGUUUCAUUUGAUUACACCCUAAAAUCACUGUGUUUCUGAUACUGGUGUACUUUGUUUUUUCAAUGCUUGACUCUACAUGUCAUCAUUUGAGCUUCUACUAUGGCCUACAUGUGGGUCAACAUUAAAUGAAAAGGGUAAGUUUAAUUGCCCAAAUGUUUCUUACAGUAUAAAAUCAGAAAGCUUUGUUUGAAGACACCAUAAUAUCACUGUAUUUCUAAUAUUGGUCAUAUAUGUUUCUUUCUAUGCUCGACUCUCUUCAUCUACUGUACACGUCACUGCUUGAGUCCCUACUAUGGUAAAUGUGGGUCAUGUGACAACAUUAAAUUAACAAGGCAAAUUUCAUACCAUCUGAUGGAGUAUCUGUUGUUAAAGAAUAAAGAAGAAUGGACUUGCAGCUACUCUUCACUCAAAUAGGGUCAACUUUCACCACAGCUGGAGUUUUGUUUAUGUGCAGCAUGGCACAUCCGUCUUCUUGCUAAGCCACGAGAGGAAAGCAUAUGCAAACCUAUCAGUUUUCAUGUUAUAAACAUAUCAGUGUUAUGUUAUGCUGUGGCGCCUCCUGCUGGAUCAUAAUUGUACUGCAUUAGUAGUUUUUCUGAGGGUUUAUCAUCUUGGUUUUGGUAAUAGCCAACUUAGUGUCUUGUAAAUAAUACCUUGCUAUAGUCUUGAGUAUUGCAUAUUAGCUCUUCUGUCAACCAACAUUAAACCAUUCUCUUUAGAUCACUGUUAAGACUUUCAAAAGAUUUUCAUGUUGUUCUGGUUUCUUGAAUUA